rnacentral:tRNA from 1 species
GGGCGUCGCCAAGUGGUUAAGGCAGUGGCUUGUGGCGCCACCAUUCGGGGGUUCGAGUCCCCUCGCUCGCCCUUCA